CUCCAAGGCUAAAUACUCCUGACUGACCGAUAGUGAACCAGUACCGUGAGGGAAAGGCGAAAAGAACCCCUGUGAGGGGAGUGAAAUAGAUCCUGAAACCGCAUGCAUACAAGCAGUGGGAGCACCUUCGUGGUGUGACUGCGUACCUUUUGUAUAAUGGGUCAGCGACUUAUAUUCAGUAGCAAGGUUAACCGUAUAGGGGAGCCGUAGGGAAACCGAGUCUUAAUAGGGCGUUUAGUUGCUGGGUAUAGACCCGAAACCAGGCGAUCUAUCCAUGAGCAGGUUGAAGGUUGGGUAACACUAACUGGAGGACCGAACCCACUGUCGUUGAAAAGCCAGGGGAUGACUUGUGGAUAGGGGUGAAAGGCUAAUCAAGCCUGGUGAUAGCUGGUUCUCCCCGAAAGCUAUUUAGGUAGCGCCUCGGACGAAUACCAUAGGGGGUAGAGCACUGUUUCGGCUAGGGGGUCAUCCCGACUUACCAAACCGAUGCAAACUCCGAAUACCUAUGAGUACUAUCCGGGAGACAGACUGCGGGUGCUAACGUCCGUAGUCAAGAGGAAAACAAUCCAGACCGCCAGCUAAGGCCCCAAAAUCAUAGUUAAGUGGGAAACGAUGUGGGAAGGCAUAGACAGCUAGGAGGUUGGCUUAGAAGCAGCCACCCUUUAAAGAAAGCGUAAUAGCUCACUAGUCGAGUCGGCCUGCGCGGAAGAUGUAACGGGGCUAAAACUAUGUGCCGAAGCUGCGGAUUUGACAUUAGUCAAGUGGUAGGGGAGCGUUCUGUAAGCCGAUGAAGGUGUAUUGAGAAGUAUGCUGGAGGUAUCAGAAGUGCGAAUGCUGACGUGAGUAACGACAAAACGGGUGAAAAACCCGUUCGCCGAAAGACCAAGGGUUCCAGUCCAACGUUAAUCGGGGCUGGGUGAGUCGACCCCUAAGGCGAGGCCGAAAGGCGUAGUCGAUGGGAAAUUGGUUAAUAUUCCAAUACUUCUGUGUAAUGCGAUGAGAGGACGGAGAAGGUUAAGUCAGCCUGGCGUUGGUUGUCCAGGUGGAAGGAUGUAGGUAUGUAUCUUAGGCAAAUCCGGGGUACUCUAUACUGAGAUCCGAUAGCAAGCUGUACUUGUACAGUGAAGUGGCUGAUACCAUGCUUCCAGGAAAAGUCUCUAAGCUUCAGUUACACAGGAAUCGUACCCGAAACCGACACAGGUGGUCAGGUCGAGUAGACCAAGGCGCUUGAGAGAACUCUGCUGAAGGAACUAGGCAAAAUGGUACCGUAACUUCGGGAGAAGGUACGCUGUUGUUGGUGAUGGAACUUGCUUCCUGAGCUGACGACAGCCGCAGAAACCAGGCCGCUGCAACUGUUUAUUAAAAACAUAGCACUCUGCAAACACGAAAGUGGACGUAUAGGGUGUGAUGCCUGCCCGGUGCUGGAAGGUUAAUUGAUGGGGUUAGCGUAAGCGAAGCUCUUGAUCGAAGCCCCAGUAAACGGCGGCCGUAACUAUAACGGUCCUAAGGUAGCGAAAUUCCUUGUCGGGUAAGUUCCGACCUGCACGAAUGGCAUAAUGAUGGCGGCGCUGUCUCCAGCAGAGGCUCAGUGAAAUCGAAAUCGCUGUGAAGAUGCAGUGUACCCGCGGCUAGACGGAAAGACCCCGUGAACCUUUACUGCAGCUUGACACUGAACUUUGACCUUACUUGUGUAGGAUAGGUGGGAGGCUUUGAAGUUGGAACGCUAGUUCCAAUGGAGCCGUCCUUGAAAUACCACCCUGGUAAUGUUGAGGUUCUAACUCUGUCCCGUUAUCCGGGACGAGGACCGUGUCUGGUGGGUAGUUUGACUGGGGCGGUCUCCUCCUAAAGAGUAACGGAGGAGUACGAAGGUGCGCUCAGCGUGGUCGGAAAUCACGCGUAGAGUAUAAAGGCAAAAGCGCGCUUAACUGCGAGACCCACAAGUCGAGCAGGUACGAAAGUAGGUCUUAGUGAUCCGGUGGUUCUGUAUGGAAGGGCCAUCGCUCAACGGAUAAAAGGUACUCUGGGGAUAACAGGCUGAUACCGCCCAAGAGUUCAUAUCGACGGCGGUGUUUGGCACCUCGAUGUCGGCUCAUCUCAUCCUGGGGCUGAAGCAGGUCCCAAGGGUAUGGCUGUUCGCCAUUUAAAGAGGUACGCGAGCUGGGUUUAGAACGUCGUGAGACAGUUCGGUCCCUAUCUACCGUGGGCGCUGGAAAUUUGAGAGGAUCUGCUCCUAGUACGAGAGGACCAGAGUGGACGAACCUCUGGUGUACCGGUUGUGACGCCAGUCGCAUCGCCGGGUAGCUAUGUUCGGAAGGGAUAACCGCUGAAAGCAUCUAAGCGGGAAGCCUACCUCAAGAUAAGAUUUCCCUAGGAAUUUAUUCCUCUAAAGAGCCGUUCGAGACUAGGACGUUGAUAGGUUGGAUGUGGAAGCAUAGUGAUAUGUGAAGCUGACCAAUACUAAUUGCUCGUGAGGCUUGACUAUACAACACCCAAGCAGUUGGUUGUAUAGUCAAGUAAUUAAGUGCAUGUGGUGGAUGCCUUGGCAGUCAGAGGCGAUGAAAGACGUGAUAGCCUGCGAAAAGCUCCGGGGAGGCGGCAAAUAUCCUUUGAUCCGGAGAUUUCUGAAUGGGGGAACCCACCUACUUUAAGGUAGGUAUUGCAACAUGAAUACAUAGUGUUGCAAGGCGAACGAGGGGAAGUGAAACAUCUCAGUACCCUUAGGAAAAGAAAUCAAUUGAGAUUCCCUUAGUAGCGGCGAGCGAACGGGGAUCAGCCCAUUAAGUUAUGUGUGUUUUAGUGGAACGCUCUGGGAAGUGCGAACGUAGAGGGUGAUAUUCCCGUACACGAAAGGGCACACAUAAUGAUGACGAGUAGGGCGAGGCACGUGAAACCUUGUCUGAAUAUGGGGGGACCAUC
rnacentral:rRNA from 1 species